rnacentral:lncRNA from 1 species
CUUGGAUCAGUUUCAAGUAGAGAAGGACUCCUCCAUAUUCACUAAAAUCCAUAUAAAAAUAUAAUUACCGCCCAUCUCAAAUCAGCAUGAGAAAUAAAGAGUCCUUCUUAAAGAAGGCUCUUUAUUAAACGCGUUGCCUUAGAAGAUAAAUCAAAAAUCCUAUGUUUUAAUACCAAAAAUUAAUAAAAUUUUUAUGGAAUG